rnacentral:rRNA from 1 species
CCUACGGGAGGCAGCAGUGAGGAAUAUUGGUCAAUGGCCGGAAGGCUGAACCAGCCAUGCCGCGUGAAGGUCAGUGCCCUAUGGGCGUUAAACUUCUUUUGUGCGGGAGCAAUAAUGGUCACUUGUGGCCAGACGAGAGUACCGUACGAAUAAGCAUCGGCUAACUCCGUUCCAGCAGCCGCGGUAAUACUGGGGAUGCAAGCGUUAUCCGGGGUUUUUGGGUUUAAAGGGUGCGUAGGCUGGGAGGUAAGUCAGCGGUGAAAUGCCCCCGAUGAACGGGGUGAAGUGCCAUUGAUACUGCCGUGCUGGAAUGCGGAUGCCGUGGGAGGAAUGUGUGGUGUAGCGGUGAAAUGCAUAGAUAUCACACAGAACACCGAUUGCGAAGACAUCUCACGAAUCCGCGAUUGACGCUGAUGCACGAAAGCGUGGGUAUCAAACAGGAUUAGAUACCCGAGUAGUC